UAAGCGAGGCUCCUGGUAGUUA
rnacentral:miRNA from 1 species